GAUGAACGCUGACAGAAUGCUUAACACAUGCAAGUCUUUGGCGAAGCUGUGCUUGCACAGCCUAGCCAAGGCGGACGGGUGAGUAACGCGUAAGGAACUUGCCCUGCAGUCAGGGAUAACAGACGGAAACGACUGAUAAGACCUGGUAAAGUCAGGCGGACUCAUGUCCAGCCUGAUGAAAAGAGAUGCUGCAGGAGAGCCUUGCGUCCUAUUAGCUUGUUGGUGGGGUAACGGCCCACCAAGGCGAUGAUAGGUAGCCGGCCUGAGAGGGUGGACGGCCACAAGGGGACUGAGAUACGGCCCUUACUCCUACGGGAGGCAGCAGUGGGGAAUAUUGGACAAUGGGGGCAACCCUGAUCCAGCAAUUCUGUGUGCACGAUGAAGGUUUUCGGAUUGUAAAGUGCUUUCAGCUGGGAAGAAAAAAAUGACGGUACCUGCAGAAGAAGCGACGGCUAAAUACGUG
rnacentral:rRNA from 1 species